GUAUUAUUGACAUUUAUUUUUGAUAUAGUGGAGUAAAUUUUUGACAACUCUCUUCAUCACAUUUGGUGCCAUUUAUGUGUGUAUGUUGUUCUCUUGAAAAAUAUUGAUACAAUGAUGAUGCCCGGUAAAUCUGGAGGAAUUAUUGAUACUAUGAUGAUGCCCGGUUAAUCCGAAGGAAUAUAUGAUAUUAUGAUGAUGCCCGGUUCGAGUUCGGAGAAAUAUGUGAUAUUAUGAUGAUGCUCGGUUUGAGUCUGGAGGAAUAUGUGAUUUUAUGAUGAUGCCCGAUUCGAGUUCGGAGGAAUAUGUGAUUUUAUGAUGAUGCCCGGUUUGAGUAUGGAGGAAUAUGUGAUAUUAUGAUGAUGACCGGUUCGAUUCUGGAGGAAUGUGUGAUAUUAUGAUGAUGCCCGGUUCGAGUCUAGAGGAAUGUGUGAUAUUGUGAUGAUGCUCAAUGAAUUCAGCGGAAUAUGUUGAUAUUGUGAUGAUGCCCGGUGAAUCCGCAAGAGAAAUGGAUCAUAUAUACUGCUGCUGCUAACCAUAUGGUUGGGGACUCGAACCUGUUACUUAACAAGAGUGUUACAUAGUUGGACAAACCAAACAAGGAUCUUUGUACUGGAAAGGUGAGCGGGAUUAGUAAUCUUGAUGGAGGACUAUAUGUUCUUGGAGAUCAGUCAAGGAAAAAGGUCGCAGUAGCAACUAAAGCAGCUAGUAAACCAGCUAUGGAAAGAACUCAGGUUGAGGUAGAUUUUUGGCAUCAAAGGUUGGGACAUGCAUCAACAAAUGUGAUGAAGAGAGUUGUAUCUCAGGAGGUCCAAGUGAUAGAAGAUAGACUAAAACAAUGUAGUAUUUGUCCUAGUGCUAAACAAACUAGGUUACAUUUUCUGUCUACUAGUAGUCAAAGUACAUGUUGUUUUGAUCUUGUGUACAUGAAUGUGUGGGACCUUACAAAGUACCAACUAUGAAUGGAAACAGAUACUUUCUAACA